GAUGAACGCUAGCGGCAGGCCUAAUACAUGCAAGUCGAACGGAUAUAUGUUUUUCGGAAUAUAUAUUAGUGGCGCACGGGUGAGUAACACGUACAUAACUUGCCCUCAAGCGGGGGAUAGCCUUGGGAAACUGAGAGUAAUACCCCAUAGAAUUAUUGGACGGCAUCGUUUGAUAAUUAAAACUACGGUGUUUGGGGAUAGAUGUGCGUCUGAUUAGCUAGUUGGUGAGGUAACUGCUCACCAAGGCGACGAUCAGUAGGGGGCGUGAGAGCGUGGCCCCCCCACACGGGUACUGAGACACGGACCCGACUCCUACGGGAGGCAGCAGUAAGGAAUAUUGGUCAAUGGAGGGAACUCUGAACCAGCCAUGCCGCGUGAAGGAUGACGGCCCUCUGGGUUGUAAACUUCUUUUGGAUGGGGCGAAAAAACGGGNUUUAUCCUGGACUGACGGUACCAUCAGAAUAAGCACCGGCUAACUCCGUGCCAGCAGCCGCGGUAAAGUAGUCGUG
rnacentral:rRNA from 1 species